AGAGGAGACAACGGGAGAGAAAGAUAGAGAGAGAGAAAGAUAAAGGUUUUGUUUUAGUGCUUAAGAACUCGGUUUGCGCUAGCCAGCAGCUGCGAUAGGGCCCAGAUCGCAGGACCUCUUACUCGCUUUAUCUACGUCCGUCCGCAGUCAUGUAUGAGAGACAGACCGAGGGGCUACGUGUGUGUUAAUAUCUGUGUGUCGUUGAGGGGAGGGAACAAGAUGAAGCUGAGGCAGCCAAGGUGGUGGCGCUUCCUCUGCACUCUGGUGUUCUUCAGCUCGGCCGUGGAAGGAACUCUAACCUCAGACUGCGCCGACGCCCCGGGUCAGGCGGGGAGGCUCCCCAUCGGCCGCGAGCGCACCGCCUGGUUCCGGCCGCAAGGAGCCCAGAAGGACCGGAGUCUCCAGUUCAACCAAGGGCCUGAGGCGCGCUACGAACUCCAGCUGAAGUCGAGGGGCGCGUUUCUGAGGACGACUCUGACGGAACACAAAGCCGGGGGGAAGAGUGUUAUCCUCGACGUGCCAAGGAUCCCCAAGGAUUACUUCAAGGAGGAUUCCUGGGCCUCCUUCGCCGUGCGGGAGAGGGAGGUCAGCCUCGCCUUCCGGAGGAGCGACUUGGAUGGAAUGGAGCUCCGCGUGUGGGGGCUGCAGCCGGCGUUCGUGGAUGAGGUUGUGGCUGGCGACGGCGUCCUAGUCUGGACCAAGUGUUCUCCUGUGAGAGAUCCCACCACAACCAGCACCACCCCGGUCCCCACCACAACGGAAUCCACCACAACGGAAUCCACCACACCCACCACCACCACGACCACGACCACUGAAGCCCCGCCUACCACUGCCGAGGCUUUGCCCAGCACCACCACACCGGCGGACGACGACGACACGACCGUCGAAGGAGACCCGAGCGGGUCCUCGGACGACCCGGUCCUGCUGGGAGCUUCCGAGGACGCCGACUUCGGUGAGCGCUGCGGCGGAGGAGCGCCCCUGUGGGCGUGGGUAUGCGCCUGCAUGCUGGCGCUGCUCAUGGUCGUGCUGGUGGUCCUGGCUGUGUACGUGGUCGUCCUCAGCAGCCAGAACAAGAGGCUGAUGGCGAAGGUGGAGAAGCCUGGGACGGGCAGCCGCAGCCGCCUGGCCGCGAGCGCCAGCACGGGCCUGGGCGUGCACACGAGCGAGGUGGAGUUCUACCAGGUGCGCAACCCCAGCCUCAUGGUCGCCCCCGGCACCAUCGCCGCCAGCCAGACGACGCCGCGCUUCGCCGGCGGACAUCACCACGCCGUCUACACGCCCGCCUCGAAGAAGUCCGGCGCCCAGAGCUCCUCCUCCACGCCCAGACUCUCGGCCUUCAGGAGGUCCAUGUCUCAGCCGGCGCCGCAGGACAUCGCCCACCGCGACCCACCCUCGCUCGAGUUCCCGGCCCCGCCCGCGACGCCCCCGCCCGCCUGCCCCGCCUACGAGGACGAGGACGAGGACUACGUGAACGCCGAGACCCUCAUGAUCGACGACUCACAGCGCCGGGGCCAGGUCGGGGACGCGGCCCAGCCCUUCCCCAGGAGCGUCGACAGCCUCCUGCGGGAGCUGCAGUUCGAGUGAGGCCUUGCUCCAGGGGGCGGCCUCGGGACGUCACUUGGGCGGGUCAAGGGGGCGGCCUCGUGACGUCACCAAUACCAUCCCGACGAGAGACAUCGUCACGAAGCACGGACCGAUACAUCGCCAAGACUUGACUGACGUUGCACUUUUGCCUCCAAUACAACAAGACCCAGAACACCCCCCCCCCCCCCCAGCCCGGAACACAAGACGUCGCGUCGUCAUGUCGACAGAAAUAUCCAGAUGGAUUAAUGAAAACCUUAAAGGAUCCAGCGGCGCUAAUGGCAAUCCCAUGACCCAGUCCCUUUCCUCUCCAUGAGUCCGUUAAUCCAUCCUGGUCUGAUUAAUUGAGUUGUUUCGUAAGAUGUGGUCUUUCGGUGUCAUUUUUUUUU
rnacentral:misc_RNA from 1 species